rnacentral:misc_RNA from 1 species
UUGCUCCAAUGAUGCUAUCCAGCUUGACACUUUACCUAGCCCCUUCUUUCCAUGAAUUUUGUUGUUUUCCUCCAGUUUCUUUUCUUCAUUUACUCCUAAACUUCCAUCUCUGCAGCAUGAAAAGCCAUUAGCGCCCUGGCAACAGCCACCAACAUUCUCUUUACUGACCUCGCUGUUGCUUUCUUCAUGUUUGUUACUUUCCUUCACAUCUUUUCCAUUCGGAAGCCUUUGCUCAGCAGCCUUUUCACCUUCUUCACUAGGUGCUCCCAUUUGGCCCCUCCAAAUACGUUCUAUUACUACUCCUUGCCCAAUGUGCUGAUCCAGAAUUUCAGGCACAUCAUCGGGUGUAACAUAGCCAUACCAGUGGCCCAUAAU